rnacentral:lncRNA from 1 species
GUAGUUCAUUCUUUCCAUGCACAUGUGAAAACAACUUAAAAGAAUUCCACAUAACAACUCUGAAUUUUUUCUUCUUUUUCUUUCUUUCUCUUUCUUUCUUUCAAUCUUUCUUCCUUUCUUUUCUCUUCCUUUCUCUUUCUAUCUCUUUCUAUCUCUCUUUCUUUCUUUUUCUUUCUUCCUUCCUCUCUUCCUCCUUCCCUUGCUACUUUUUCCUUCCUUCCUUCCUUCCUUCCUUCCUUUCUUUCUUUCUUUCUUUCUUUCUUUCUUUCUUUCUUUCUUUCUUUCUUUCUUUCUUUCUUUCUUUCUUUCUUUCUUUCUUUCUUUCUUUCUUUCUUUCUUCCUUUUCCUUCCUUUCUUUCUUUCUUUCUUUCUUUCUUUCUUUCUUUCUUUCUUUCUUUCUUUCUUUCUUUCUUUCUUUCUUUCUUUCUUUCUUUCUUUCUUUCUUUCUUUUUCCUUUCUCUUUCCUUUCUUUCUUUCUUUCUUUUUCCUUUCUCUUUCCUUUCUUUCUUUCUUUCUUUCUUUCUUUCUUUCUCUCUUUCUCUCUUUCUUUCUCUAUCAAAUUCUUUCUCUCUCUCGCUUUUCCUCCCUCCCUCUCUCCCUCUCUUCCGUUUCCUUCCUUCCUUCCUUCCUUCCGUACAUACAUAAGUCGAGCCUAGAUAGGUUCCUUACUUCCUACAAAGAUGAAGUGAAUCUAUAAAGAGGAUGAAGCUUG